GAAUAUGGACAACUUCCUUUCCUGUACUCAUGAUUCAAGAGAAUACUCAAUUAUGAAGGAGUCUGGGAUGGCCCGCAGGUACCUCCCACUGACAUGGCUAUUUCCCCUCGCCCCCAAACCUGCAUUCCCCGUCUCCUGGAAGAUCACCACCAUCUGCCAGUGACUCAAGCGGGAAACAUCAGAACAAACACCAACCCCUCCUUCUCCCUCUGCCUUCGCAGCCUCCUGAGUGUUUCCUGGAACCCGGCCCACUGUCCCCACUCCCCUGGCCUUGUCUGUCCUCUCCUGGACUCUGGCAACAGGGCCUCCAGCCUCCAUCCUCCACAAGGUAUCCGAGGCCACCUUCUAAAAAGACCUGGCCGGGAUGCCCACUUCCGACACUGGUCAUCUUUGAGGUUCCUGAGGGCCCAUGUGAUCAAGUCCAUAGCCUCCCUCUGUUCACAGGAAACCUUCUGACUAGGCCCACCUCUGAAUGGCUGCAGGAAGGAAGAAAUUAACACAUCCUCUCUGGGGUCUGACUGGAACCAGGACUUUAGCCACUCCCCUUUUAGUAUUAAAGGAAGCCUGAAUUUCAACUCAGGGAAGAUGACUCUUUGUGAUGCCGAUCCACCAUCUUCUCGGUCUGCUGAUUUUUUGAAUAAAGUCACUAUUCCUUGCCCCAA